CUGCAGUGAUGACUUUCUUA
rnacentral:piRNA from 1 species